GGAGAGGUGGCGGAGUGGUCUAACGCGCCGGUCUUGAAAACCGGAGUGCCGCAAGGCACCGUGAGUUCGAAUCUCACCCUCUCCG
rnacentral:tRNA from 1 species